GGGCCUGUAGCCUAGCCUGGAAGGGCGUCUGGCUUCUAACCAGAAGAUCCAGGGUUCGAAUCCCUGCAGGCCCGCCA
rnacentral:tRNA from 7 species